UUGAAAUAAACCUGAUGGGUUGUUGCUGGUUCUCUAGGGAGCAUGUGCACGCCUUGUCAUCUUUAUAUCUCCACCUGUGCACCUUUUGUAGACCUUCCAAGGUCUAUGUUGCUUCAUUUACCCCAAUGUAUGUUAAUAGAAUGUUGUGAUUAUAAAAAUAUAUA
rnacentral:misc_RNA from 1 species